rnacentral:rRNA from 1 species
GUCUAUGGUCAUACCACCCUGACACACCUGAUCUCAUCUGAUCUCAGAAGCUAAGCAGGGUUGGGCCUGGUUAGUACUUGGAUGGUGGGGAGCACACACCUUCUGGAGU